UAACACGUGGGCAACCUGCCCUGAAGCGGGGGAUAACAUCUGGAAACAGGUGCUAAUACCGCAUAACAACGAAAACCACAUGGUUUUCGUUUCAAAGAUGGUUUCGGCUAUCACUUCAGGAUGGGCCCGCGGUGCAUUAGCUAGUUGGUAAGGUAACGGCUUACCAAGGCGAUGAUGCAUAGCCGAGUUGAGAGACUGAUCGGCCACAAUGGAACUGAGACACGGUCCAUACUCCUACGGGAGGCAGCAGCG
rnacentral:rRNA from 1 species